AUGAACGCUGGCGGCGUGCCUAACCCAUGCAAGUCGAACGGAGUCCAGCCUUUAAGACCUUCGGGUCAAAGAGGGGAAGACUGAGUGGCGGACGGGUGAGUAACACGUGGGCAACCUGGCUCAUAGAGGGGGAUAACAGAGAGAAAUUUCUGCUAAUACCGCAUAAGCACACACUGCCGCAUGGCAGAGGGUGAAAAGAGAAUCGCUAUGAGAUGGACCCGCGUCUGAUUAGCCAGUUGGCAGGGUAAGAGACUACCAAAGCGACGAUCAGUAGCCGAUCUGAGAGGAUGAACGGCCACAUUGGGACUGAGACACGGCCCAAACUCCUACGGGAGGCAGCAGUGGGGGAUAUUGCACAAUGGGGGGAACCCUGAUGCAGCGACGCCGCGUGAGUGAAGAAGUAUUUCGGUAUGUAAGGCUCUAUCAGCAGGGAAGAUAAUGACAGUACCUGAAGAAGAAGCCCCGGCUAACUACGUG
rnacentral:rRNA from 1 species